UACGUAGGGGGCUAGCGUUGUCCGGAUUUAUUGGGCGUAAAGCGCGUGUAGGCGGCCAGGUAGGUCCGUUGUGAAAACCCGAGGCUUAACCUCGGGACGCCGACGGAAACCAUCUGGCUAGGGUCCGGAAGAGGAGAGUGGAAUUCCCCGGUGUAGCGGUGAAAUGCGCAGAUAUCGGGAAGAACACCCGUGGCGAAGGCGGCUCUCUGGGACGGUACCGACGCUGAGACGCGAAAGCGUGGGGAGCGAACAGG
rnacentral:rRNA from 1 species